rnacentral:rRNA from 1 species
CCUAGGGAGGCUGCAGUGGGGAAUAUUGGACAAUGGGGGCAACCCUGAUCCAGCCAUGCCGCGUGUGUGAAGAAGGCCCUCGGGUUGUAAAGCACUUUCAGUGAGGAAGAACGCCUGGUGGUUAAUACCCAUCAGGAAAGACAUCACUCACAGAAGAAGCACCGGCUAACUCCGUGCCAGCAGCCGCGGUAAUACGGAGGGUGCGAGCGUUAAUCGGAAUUACUGGGCGUAAAGCGCGCGUAGGUGGCUUGAUAAGCCGGUUGUGAAAGCCCCGGGCUCAACCUGGGAACGGCAUCCGGAACUGUCAAGCUAGAGUGCAGGAGAGGAAGGUAGAAUUCCCGGUGUAGCGGUGAAAUGCGUAGAGAUCGGGAGGAAUACCAGUGGCGAAGGCGGCCUUCUGGACUGACACUGACACUGAGGUGCGAAAGCGUGGGUAGCAAACAGGAUUAGAUACCCGAGUAGUC